AGGGUUUCUGAUGGCGCCAGUGUCAAGGUCUUCCAGUGACUCCAGGUCUUCCAGCAAUUCCAAGUCUUCCAACAACAUCAAGGUCUUCCAGCUAACCCAGUCUUCCAGAAAUCUAUGUCUUCCGGACAAUCCAUGUCUUCCAGGAAAUCCAGUCUUCCAGCAAUUAUAUGUCUUCCACAAAAUCCAUAGCUUCCAGGAAAAUCCACGUCUUCCAGAAAAUCCAUGUCUUCCAACAAUUUCAAGGUCUUCCAGCCAAUCCACGUCUUCCAGAAAAAUCUAUGUCUUCCGCCAAAUCUAAGUCUUCCAGCUAAUUUACGUCUUCCAGAAAAAUCCAAGUCUUCCAGCCAAUCUCUGUCUUCCAGAAAGAAAUCCAGGUCUUCCACUCAGUCCAUGUCUUCCGGAGAAAUCUGUGUCUUCCAGAAAAAUCCAGGUCUUCCAACCAACCCACGUCUUCCAUCAAAUCCAGUCUUCCAGUGCAUUUAUGUCUUCCAGACAAAAAUCUAUGUCUUCCACUGAAUCCAGGUCUUCCGGUAAAUCUACGUCUUCCAGAAAAUUCAUGUCUUCCACUAAAUUCAGGUCUUCCAGCAAAUUUAUGUCUUCCUAGAGAUUGUCUUCCAGAAAAAUUCAUGUCUUCCAGCAAAUCUGUGUCUUCCAAAUAAUCCAGGUCUUCCGGACAAUUCGGGUCUUCCUGAAAAUCCAUGUCUUCCAGAAAAGCCAUGUCUUCCAGGAAAUCCAUGUCUUCCAAUGACCUCCAAGUCUUCCAGAAAAUCCAUGUCUUCCAUCAAAUUCACGUCUUCCAUCAAACCCACGUCUUCCAGAAAAUCCACGUCUUCCAUCAAAUCCAUGUCUUCCAGAAAAUCCACGUCUUCCAAGAAAUACGUCUUCCAUCAAAUUCAUGUCUUCCAGCCUACCCAUGUCUUCCAGAAGAUCCAAGUCUUCCAACAAAGUCACGUCUUCCAAAAAAUCCAUGUCUUCCAACAAAGGUGCAUCUUCCAGAAAAUCCAUGUCUUCCAACAAACCUGUGUCUUCCAGAAAAUCCAUGUCUUCCCACAAAACCAUGUCUUCCAGAAAAUCCACGUCUUCCAAGAAGGGUGCGUCUUCCGGAAAAUCCACGUCUUCCAACAAAGGGUGCGUCUUCCGGAAAAUCCACGUCUUCCAACAAAGGGUGCGUCUUCCGGAAAAUCCACGUCUUCCAACAAAGGGUGCGUCUUCCGGAAAAUCCACGUCUUCCAACAAAGGGUGCGUCUUCCGGAAAAUCCACGUCUUCCAACAAAGGGUGCGUCUUCCGGAAAAUCCACGUCUUCCAACAAGGUGCGUCUUCCAACAAAGGGUGCGUCUUCCAGAAAAUCCAUGUCUUCCAACAGUGCCAUGUCUUCCAGAAAAUCCAUGUCUUCCUACACCUCCAGGUCUUCCAGCAUCUCCAGGGCUUCCAGCAUCUGCUCGUCUUCCAGCAUCUCCUCGUCUUCCAGCAUCUCCUCGUCUUCCAGCAUCUCCACGUCUUCCAGCAUCUUCAUGUCUUCCAACAACAACUCAGUCUUCCAAAAGUAGGCUCAAUAUCCACGUCUUCCAAUGUCUCCAGUGUACUGGUCUUCUAACAUUCAGGUCUUCUGGUGUCUACGAUAUCCAGGUAUUUUAAAAUGUUCCGUAAUCCAGGUCUUCUGACCUUUCCCCAGGUCCAGACUUUUCCAAAUUAGUCUUCCCAAGGCUGAGCCUUUCCAUGUUCAGAUUAUUCCAUAGACAAGUCUUCCAGUUCAAAUAUUCCUGCUUCUAGUAGAAUUAGCUUCAAAAAUUUUUGAAUAGGGCAUCCCUUCUUUAUAGACUAGAUCUUAUGGAUCAACUGUACUGAAGCUUAAUAGUGUUUUUUGCUACUAGGAAAUGUAUAUUCACUCUUUACAACUUUAAAAAAUAGUGUUCAUAAUACAGCUUCUGUGGAAUAAAUGCACAGAUGGUAUUACUGUGAUGAAUUUUGCUAAUUUACUAAUGCUCAUAUUUUUAUACAGUCAACUCUGUUUAGGUACAAGUGAAAUUUUUAUUUUAAUGAUAAAAACUCCUAUUUAGAGACUAUUAUUUUAGACAAAGCUAACAUAGAGUGUAUUUGUCCAGUGUUUAUAACAUCAUUUUUUGUUGUUUGGUCUUAUGAGACAAUAAUAAUAACAACAACAACGAUAACAUUAACAUAGCAUUUGCUACGUCCAGGCACUGCUCUAAGGUCCUUACAUGCGUCAACUUAUCCUUACAUGCAUCAGCUUAUUUAAUCUUCACAAGAACCCAUUGAGGUAGGUACUAUCAUCCCUGUUUUACAGAUGAGGAAACUGGCACACACAGAGGUGAAAUAACUUGUCCAAAGUACACAACCAAUAAAAUUCAGCACUAGGAUAUGAACCCAACUAGCUUGUUUCCAGAGUCCAUGACCCAGCCAUAAUAUCUGCUGUUGAAAAUCAAGAUGAGAAUUACAGGAUCUGAAGUUUGAUUGCUCCUGUUUUAUGUAUAAACUAUUAUAAUAUCUUAUAUAUAAAUCAUAUAUAUAUAUAUAUCCUGUGACUUAUCAGAACCUAUUUGUGCUCGCAGAUCUCAUUCCUCAUCUAUCUACUAUCAUUUCCUUGCUUGUGUAUAUGAAACUAGGCACAAACACUUCCUGAUAUAAUUCUCAGUUUAGGCAGAAAUAAUAUAAGGGAGCACUGAAUGCAAGUACCCUUUGCUUUAGAAUCAUAUUCAUGGCUCCUUGCUUUGAGUACAGAUGCUUAGAAUUUAAAUCUCCCACCUACUUUAAUCCCUUAUCACUGACCAUUAUCCAGUUUGUACCUUAGUAUCUAGACUACCUGCAGUUAGUUUGUUUCUGACCUCAGGAUCCACCUGCUUCUUUAAAUAUCACUGGCCUGCUGGAUUCCUGACCACUGCCUUGUGUCUGCGUAACUCCCAGUAUCCUGACCUAGAGAACUACUUUGAUUCUCCAAGUCUCAGCUUCUACCAGGUGCUUCCGGAAACAUUGCUACCUGUGCCUCUGGCUGACAUGACAAGCAUAAAUGCUACAUAAUGAAAUUAUGCUUAGGCAAGGGAUCUCUAAAGAUCUAGAAUCAACUAUACUGUAAAACAAAUUUAACAAUAAUAAUAAUUGUAAUACCUUCCCAAUGUCUAAUGAUUUAGUUUCUGAAGUGCUAUCAUUCAUUCAUUCACUCAACAGAUAUUUAUUGAGCAUCAGCGGUGUGCCAGCCAUAUAUUAAUGGAGCUUAAAAUCACUUGGGAGGAAACAGACAAUGUACAGAUAACUGAACAGUUAUUUAUUAGUUGUUGUAAGGCCAUGAAGGAAAAGUAAGUUACGGAUGUUCUUGAGUCUGCAAAGUUAAGGAAAGCAUUCCUGAGUGAGUAACACUGAUAGUGACUGAAGGAUCUAUUUUCUCAAUUGAUUAUCAAAAUAGCCUUGUGACUAAGAUAAGACAUAUGUUUUAAUAUCAGUUUCACGUAAUUAGGUUAAACAAGUACUAAAAGCUUGGGCAUGGGGUCCACAUAUUUUGACUUUUUUUUUUCUACUACUUCAUGCUGCCUUAAAAUAUAUAGUAAGUAAGGUUUUGGCAAUAUAUGUCAAGGGGUAUGAAAAUGUUGGUACUCUUUGAUUUGGUAUUUUCACUUCAAUGAAUCUAUUCAAGGAAAUUAUCUAAAAUAGGGAUAAUUCUGCACAAAGAUAUUCCUCACACAGUUAUUGGGUAUAGCAAAAAACAGAAAAACCUAAGUAUCUAAAUUUAAGGGGAUGAUUAAGUAAAUGUGCUAUUUCCAUGUGAAAUAUUAAAAUAUUUAUGGUAUGUUCAUAUUAUAUAAUGUUAAGUGAGAAAUCAGCAUAUAAGAUUAUAUAAAGUAUGAUUGCAGGUAUUUUAAAUAUAUAUAAUCAGAGACAAAUUAUCAGAAAUAAACCCAUUGGAGAUUGUGAAGUAAUUUAUCUCUAGGUGGGUAGGAUGAUGUGUGAUUUUUGUUUACAUCUUUAUGUUCUUAUUUUCUUCCAGAGUUCUUACAGUGUGAAAGUAUUUUAUAUUCAGGAAAAAUAUUUAAAUGAUCAUGCGCAAAAAUUCGUUAUUUUUUCAUCUUUUUUAUUAUACAUGUAAUCAAGUUUUACUGUUGAAACACUUCAAAACAUAAGUAAGCAAAGUGAAAAAAUUAAAAUCUCAAACUCAAUACUCAGGUAAUUGCUUUAAAGUUUUAGGUGUAUGCUCUUCCAUACUUUUUCAUAGGUAUGUUUAUUUUCUUUUACAAAAUGGAAUCAUACUACCUUUUUAACCUAUUUUUUCCACUUAACAGUAAAUUGUAAACUCUCUUUAUGUCAGUAACCAUGCAUCUGUAUUAUAAUUUUCAUACAUAACUUACUUCAUCUCCUAUCGGUGGGCAUUACAUUCUUUUCAGUUUGUUUUGUAUUCUAAAAAUUGCUGUGAGGAGCACAUACAUUGUACAAGUUGUGUAGAACACAAACUGUGUCAUCCCAUCUGGUGGCCUUGUACACGACUGUGUGCAAAUAUGUUCAAAAAGUACCUAGGAUAAAUUCUGAAAAGGAGAACUGCAGAGCCAAAGGAUAUGUGUAUCUACAAAGCUUAGCACAGGAAAAAAAAAUUGUAAGCAAUCUAGAUGUCCAACAAUUGACAGUGGUUAAAAUUAUAUUGCAACAAUAUGAUGAAAUACUAUGCAUCCAUUUAAGUUUAUGGCAUAGAAGAACAUAUUUACUGAAAUGGGAAUAUGUUCACAAGCUCUCAGUAGUGAAAAGAAAUAGGUCAUAUGAAAGUAUGUAUAAUAUUCAAAUUUUGUAGAAAGAGAUCUAUAUAAAUGUCCUCAGAGAAAUGACCAGUAGAAUGUACACUAAAAUGUUAGUAGUGAAAUUCCCAAGAGGAAAAAGAAUAGAUUUUUACACAGUGGCAUAUCAUUUAGCAGUGAAAUGAAUGCACUACAACUAAACAUAAUAAUAAUAUGGGUAGAUUUCACUUCUAUCAUGUUAAAUUAAGGUGUCAAGUCCCAGAAGACUAUAUAGAAUAGGAUAUUCUUUUUAUGUUAUUCAAAAUAAGUAAAACUGAAAGCUAUAUUAUUUAGGUGUACAUAUAUAUGUGUGUGUGUAUAUAUAUAUAUAUGGGAUUACAACUAUUUUAUUAGAAAGCAAAGGAAUAGCAAUCAAAUUCAGGAUAAUGGUCACCGAGGCUGAGGAAAGGGGGUUGGAACAGGAGAAGCUCAUAGAAGUAGAUGGAAGUUAUUGUAGUAUUUUAGUGCUCAGAUUUGAUGGGUGGGUGGGUAUCCAUUAUAUAAUUAAAAAUGGACAAUUAACUAAUGAUUGUAUGAUUAUUAUGACAAUUAAAAGAAUAAGUUCAUGGAUAAAAAUAAAAGAGGGCAUGGAUCAGUAAGACAGUGUGCAUGGUUUACUCAUAAUCCAAUUCCGUGCACUUGAAUUUCAUAUUUUCUGAAGCAGUUAUCUCUGGGUGGUGAGAAUACAUGUGCUUUUUACUCUCUUGUGUUUCUUCUCUGAAUUUUCUGUAGGGAAAAUACAAUAUUAUUUUAACUGAAAGACAAGCCUCAAAUUACAUAGAGUAUGAUCUCAAAUAGGUUAAAAAAAUGUAUAAUGGGGACUGAAAAGAAAACUGUUGACACUUUAAUGCCCCUGUGUGCUAAGAAAUCUUAGUGCUUUUUUUCUGUUUCCUUAGUUUUUUUUUUUAAAUCCAAAUGUUAUAGUAUCAGCUUAUUUUUUCUGUUACAAAAUUAAUAAUGUUUCUAUAAAAGUAAAAAGUACAGUGGUAACAAGUGAAAAUAUCCCUCUCCUAUACCCACAGCCCAGAGACAACCAUGGUUAUGUAUUUGCUUCGUCUCUUCCAAGUACUUUUUCUGCUUACGAGCUUGUGUUCUUGUGUGUUUUACAAAAUGAAAUUAUCAUAUACUUGUUAUCCUACAACUUUCUCAAUCCUCAUUCUUGGGAUCAGUAGAAAGUUACUGUUGCAACAGCCAGUAGAAUUCCAUAGUAGAGUGUACUAUAUAAUUUAUUUGAUUCUCUCCACGUGAUAGACCUUUAGGUUGUUAACAAGGGUUUUUUUGUUUGUUUUGUUCUACUAUUGCAGAUAAUGCUGUAAAAACAUUCUUUUAAAUCUAUCUUUGCACAUAUAGAAGUAUUUUCAUAGGCUAAUACUUUAGAAGUAUAACUGCUAGAUCAAAGGCUUUGAGCUAAAUUGCCCUUCUGGCAUGCUGGACACUAUUAUUCUUUUUAAUUUUUGUUAGCAUUUUGGAUGAGAAAUCAAAUUUCCUUCAAGUUAUCUUUGUCUAAUCACCAGUAAAGUUAAACACUUUUUAAUAUAUUUAUUAGCUAUUUGUAUUUCUUCUGUUGGAGAUUGCUUGUUCAUAUCCUUUACCUACUUUUCUCUUGAGUCAUUUGUCUUUUUUCUUUUUUGAUUUAUAGGGAGAUCUCUGGAUAUUAGAGUUGACUUGUAUAUUUUAUUUCCAGUUAACUUUUUAAAGAGUGUUUUUUAAAAAUAUCACUUUUUCUGCCUUUGUUAAUUCCUUCUUUCUAUUUUUUGGUUCUGUUUGAUCUCUUUCUAUAUUAUUUAAGUGAAUGCAUAGUUUAUUUUUCAGUCUUUCUUAUUUUCUAUUUAAUUCAUUUAAAUUGUAAAUUUUCCUCUGAAUACAUAUUUGUGACCGUAUCUCAUAGUUUUCACAUGCAGUGUUAUCAUAGUCCUUCUUUUGUCACCUCAUCUUUAGUUUUGUUUUUCUUUUUAAUCCAAGGGUUCUUUAGAAGUGUGUGCGUGUGUAUAUAUAUAUUUCAAUGUGAUGAGGUUUUAGUUGAUGUUUUGUUUUGUUUUUCUAUCCCCCUCUUACUAUAAUUUAUACUGUCUCAUGUUGGAGAAUGUUUCCUGCAUGAAUUACACAUUUUGGAGUAUUUUAUGUUCCAUUAUAAUGCAUUUUAAUAAAUAUUCCAUGGGCAUCUAAAGAAAAUGUAUUUUCUUUUCAUUUGAGUAAUAUUAUGUCAUAUUUCUGCAUAUGAAAUCAAACUUAAUUGUUAAUAACAAUUGUGAAAUAUUACUAACAAUUCAGAUUUUAUUUGCUUGAUCUAAAACUUCAGAUUAAAGUAUGCAAAAUCUC
rnacentral:lncRNA from 9 species